rnacentral:rRNA from 1 species
ACGCUCGACACCUACGGGAGGCAACAGUGGGGAAUAUUGCACAAUGGGGGAAACCCUGAUGCAGCGACGCCGCGUGAGCGAAGAAGUAUUUCGGUAUGUAAAGCUCUAUCAGCAGGGAAGAUAAUGACGGUACCUGACUAAGAAGCUCCGGCUAAAUACGUGCCGGCAGCCGCGGUAAUCUGAGCGGGCUGGCAAGGC